AUUGAACGCUGGCGGCAGGCCUAACACAUGCAAGUCGAACGGUAACAGGAAGAAGCUUGCUUCUUUGCUGACGAGUGGCGGACGGGUGAGUAAUGUCUGGGAAACUGCCUGAUGGAGGGGGAUAACUACUGGAAACGGUAGCUAAUACUGCAUAACGUCGCAAGACCAAAGAGGGGGACCUUCGGGCCUCUUGCCAUCGGAUGUGCCCAGAUGGGAUUAGCUAGUAGGUGGGGUAACGGCUCACCUAGGCGACGAUCCCUAGCUGGUCUGAGAGGAUGACCAGCCACACUGGAACUGAGACACGGUCCAGACUCCUACGGGAGGCAGCAGUGGGGAAUAUUGCACAAUGGGCGCAAGCCUGAUGCAGCCAUGCCGCGUGUAUGAAGAAGGCCUUCGGGUUGUAAAGUACUUUCAGCGGGGAGGAAGGGAGUAAAGUUAAUACCUUUGCUCAUCGACGUUACCCGCAGAAGAAGCACCGGCUAACUCCGUG
rnacentral:rRNA from 1 species